rnacentral:rRNA from 1 species
UACGAGAGGCCCAAACGUUAUUCGGAAUUACUGGGCUUAAAGAGUUCGUAGGCGGCAUGAAAAGCAGGGUGUGAAAGGCCCUCGGCUCAAACCGAGGAAUUGCGCUCUGAACUGUCGUGCUUGAGGAACCUAGAGGUGAGCAGAACGUGAUGGUGGAGCGGUGAAAUGCGAUUGAUAUCAUCAGGAAUACCGGAGGCGAAGGCGGCGUCACU